GUCAUGUGGUGCAAUGGGUCAGUGCAACUGGCUGUUAACCAGAAGGUUGGUGGUUCUAGCCCACCCAGGGACA